rnacentral:lncRNA from 1 species
UGCUAAACCAUUUGUAACAUAACAUAUAUGAAAUCAUUAAGUUGCUUCUUCAAGAAAUAAAUAUUGAAAUAACACAUGCCCUUUUUUCACAUUGCAAUCAGAAUCAUUGACCUAAUAUUAUACAUCACAUUUCAGUUAGUUUGAUCCAGAAGGUAGAUUCCAAACUAAGCCAAGAAGCAUAUAAAAUAUGAUUUAAACACAUUAUGCGGUUAUUGGCUUUCACUCCAAAGGAUGAUGAAAACAACUAUAGUUUCUUCCUAUUUUUGGUAAAUUUAGGUUCUCAAGCUUCACGAAAAAAUAACAAAUGAACCAUCCCUUCACCUAGUUAACUCAGAACAUUGUCAGAACUCAAAACUAGUAUAAAAUAAACAUAGGAGAGAGGUUAACUAACACCAACAGGCAACACGUCGACAACCUCGUAUACAUAACCUACACGCCAUCGACAGAGGACUUAGCUCAACGUGUAAAUGUAAAUGGGGGGAGAGAGGGCAACACAAGGGAUUAGGACGAACAUGUUACAAGCAAUCUGAGUUCACAUGUGUGCUUGCAUCGAUGAACUACCCGUAGCUUCCUAGCAAUGCAAUCAGACAAGCAAGCAUCAGAAAUCAGAACUACAACCUCCAUCCUAACUCGGAACAUAUUCAGAACUCACAACCAAAGCAUGGGCCACAGGUUAACACCAACAUGCCCCACGCUAACAAGCUGAAGCUUGGAUAUACAACAACCUACACACCAUUGACAGACUUGACUUAGCAUGUGAUAAUUGUAAUUGUGGACAGGUAGGGAAACACAAGGCAGGUAGUAGGAUGAAGAGGUUACGAGCAUCCGCUAUUGACUAGAUCAUCGUCCACUACUUCGCUAGUGAUAGAAGUCAACACGAGACAAAAUUUGAACCAGAGCAAUCUAGCAUCCCACGAAGGGGUGUGUAGCCGGGACACGACAAUAGUAGGAGACAGUAGGGAGAAGGGGAAAGGAGGGGAGAAGGGGAGGCUUACCCGCCUACAGCGAUCCGAUGCGAGGGGACAGGACAACCAUGACAAAGGAGUGGCCGGCGACGAGGGAUCCACAAGGCAGAGGGCGCAAGACGGAGGGGUGCUGGCAUGGCGUGGUGGAGGAGGAGGAGUGGGGAAGGAAGGAAGGGAGGGAGAGAUGGAGGGCGGCGGUGGGGUGCAGAGAUGGGGGAAGGUAGUGAGGAGGUGAGACAGUGAGGGAAUGGAGGGAGGAGCUGACAAUGGUUGGGGAAGGAGGUGAGGAAGGGAGCGAGGAGUGCGGUGGUGGACAGAGGUGGCGCUGGCGGUUGCGGGGUGGAAGAAAGUGGGGGGAGAUAGGGGGUGGGGGCUAACGGCCCUUAGAUAGGCAAGGGCUUUG